GUGGAAUAGGGUGGAAUGAGCACUGGUCUAGUUCAGUCUUUGUGUUGGAGUGAGUAGUCAUGCAGGGGCUGUGUCCUCUUUUAUGUUCAGAUUUGUCAAGCCAAGGAGUACCUCUCCUGUUGUUUUUUUUCUACAUCUUUCAGGCACUGCAGCAGACCUGGAUAAAUUGUUCCAUUGACUUUGUAAUCUUAGAGAGGUCCACCUUAGCACCACUUCCACCACAUGGUGCCUUCAUAAUUUGUCUGAAACUUUACUUUUCCACCAUGCAAUUUGCCUAGGUCCCAGGGAUUUUGCCAUCACCUUCCAUUUCUUCAGCACUACUCUUCAGCAUAUUGAUUGCAUUUCCUUCAAUCUGCUGACUCUCCAAGGGCAUUACUUUGAAGGAGUCCCAAGGGGUCAGUAUAUAGGAAGGGGAGAGAAAAACUAGCAGAAUUUCCUAAGACCAUUCCUAAGACCAACGCAAACUGAAAUGGAUCAGUGGUCAGCCAUGUACUGCUGUGAACGAUGAUUCAGAAUAAAACUCUGAAAGCAGUGAUCAGAAGAAGUGAGAGAGCUUCCCAUUGGCAGAUCAGUUUUGCCGGCGUCAAAGUGUUUUGCAGGAGCGUGGUGAUGCAACAAAUUUUUUUGACAGACGAGUGUCACAACAAAUCAUUUUAACUUCCUCGUUUCAUUUUGCUAAUGUCAAAACGUUUAACUGCAAAUGAGGCAAAAACGUUUCAUUUUGACUGUAUCAUUACAUUUAAUUUUGUUUAGAUUGGCAUGUUAAUUUUGAUACCGUAUAUUUAUACCUAAUGUUGCGAAUUGUUAGGAAGCAGUAGGAAAGAACCCUCCUUUCCACGCUCUUGAAAUACAGACUUCAAAUAUUUGCAGAGUUGGUAUUUAAUCAGCAAUCGCAGUUUUCUCGCUGGGGUAAGUAUCCUACCCCACGGUGGCAAGAGGCAGCCUCCAAAUAUUUCUGCCAGGGCUGCUUUCCUCUGAGCCCCGUGUACCUGCUGAAUUCUGCGUGCCUUGUCACAUGUAAUUAGCAGCUGUUGAGUGAAUUGAUCGGUUAAUUUCCAUCUCGCACUCAGAUGCAUUUAAUCCAUUAGCUGAUGAUUUGCAGAGAUUUUUUUUCUUUCCCGAAUAUUUCCUCACCUGUGUUUUAUCAAUAGUUAAAUUGAUUGGGUCACCGUUACUCACUGCUUGUCCAAGCCCUGUUUCUUUGUUUGCCUCUUUCUUUACCAUGUGGUAUUUUAACGAGCAGUUGGCACCUCAGUUAUUUAAAUGUCAUCAUGAAUGUCACCUCUUUUCAUUUAUUUAUUAAUCAGCAUACCUACUAUUGAAUGGUAUUUCCAAAUAAAAGUCUUUCUUCCUUUCUGUA